UAAGCAGCAGCAACCCCCUGUUCCCUGCCCUCCCCAUCCGCACCCAGCAAUGGCUAGGAGUUGAGGCACUACCCUUGGGUGUGCCAAAUGAGUCAUUUCCUCCCCAGAGCUGUUUGACUCCUUCUCCACCUGGAGGGCUUUAUAACGUUCCUGCCCCUACUUCAGUUCCACGGUUCACCCAAGCAGGCAGCAUGCUGCUGCUGCCCGUCCUGCUUGCAGCUUCUUCUUGGUCCCGUGGAGACGCGCAGGCAGUGCCGGUGCAAAGCCCGGUGAUGCGGACUCAGGCAGAGAGACGCUCGGCCAGCAUGGAAUGCCAGCUGACGAAAGAAGACACCGUGCACUGGUACAAGCAGCUUCCCGGAGAGCCGCCCAAGAGGAUACUGUACGUGUCAGGAAACACACCUAUAUUUGAUGAUGGCUCUGACAGACAAAAGUAUCAAGUGAGGAAGCAUGCCUCUAAACCUCUCUAUAGUCUCCAAAUAAAUUAUGUAACCCAGAGGGACGCUGGCACUUACUACUGUGCGUACUGGUAUUUAUAUCAAGGCAUCACAGCGUUAGAUGGGCCAAGAUAAACCAUACAAAAAGGCACUUGGCACUCUGAACCACAAGCUCUGAACUCUGCCCAAAUGCAGAUACUUCGUCAUUCAGCCCUGCUCUGAUGAUUUUCUGCCGCAGGAUAGGAAAAACAACAGCCUAGCAUGACAACUGCUAAAUAGAGGAUGUUAAUAAUCGGGAUAUUAUUUCCAGACUGACACAUCUCUGUAACAUGCAGAAGCUGCAGGUCCCCAUCAAUUGAGGGUACAAAGAGGGAACAUUGCUGUCAAGAUGAAGACUUGGAAGCACGGAAAGCACUCACCUGGCAGUGAACACAGCCUGUCUGUGCCUUGUGAGCAAACAGUAACUGAAUAUUUCUCUUCUUUACUGGAAUCUGUGGAGCAAGCAGACCAAUAUAUCUCCAUCCCCUUGGUGCUCUCUCUUGAGAUAAGG